rnacentral:rRNA from 1 species
GAUGAACGCUGGCGGCGCGCCUAAUACAUGCAAGUCGAGCGAACAGAUGAGAAGCUUGCUUCUCUGAUGUUAGCGGCGGACGGGUGAGUAACACGUGGGUAACCUACCUAUAAGAGUGGGAUAACUCCGGGAAAACGGGGCUAAUACCGGAACAUAGUUUGAACAGGAUGAUUCGAUAGUGAAAGACGGUUUCGGCUGUCACUUAUCGAUGGCCUCGCGCCGUAUUUGUUAGUUGGUAAGGUAACGGAUUACCAAGGCGACGAGACGUAGCCGACCUGAGAGGGUGAUCGGCCACACUGGGACUGAGACACGGUCCAGACUCCUACGGGAGGCAGCAGUAGGGAAUCUUCCGCAAUGGGCGAGGGCCUGACGGAGCAACGCCGCGUGAGUGAUGAAGGUCUUCGGAUCGUAAAACUCUGUUGUUAGGGAAGAACAAAUUUGUAAGUAACUGAACAAGUCUUGACGGUACCUAACCAGAAAGCCACGGCUAACUACGUGCCAGCCGCCGCGGUAA